rnacentral:rRNA from 1 species
GACGAACGCUGGCGGCGUGCUUAACACAUGCAAGUCGAGCGGUAAGGCCCCUUCGGGGGUACACGAGCGGCGAACGGGUGAGUAACACGUGGGUGACCUGCCCUCAGCUCUGGGAUAAGCCUGGGAAACUGGGUCUAAUACCGGAUAUGACUCCAUGACGCAUGUCGUGGGGUGGAAAGCCUUGUGCGGCUGGGGAUGGGCCCGCGGCCUAUCAGCUUGUUGGUGGGGUGAGUGGCCUACCAAGGCGACGACGGGUAGCCGGCCUGAGAGGGCGACCGGCCACACUGGGACU